rnacentral:rRNA from 1 species
UACAGAGGGGGCAAGCGUUGUUCGGAAUUACUGGGCGUAAAGGGCGCGUAGGCGGCUUUGCAAGUCGGGUGUGAAAUCCCCAGGCUUAACCUGGGAACUGCAUUCGAGACUGCAUUGCUAGAGUAUGGGAGAGGGAAGUGGAAUUUCCGGUGUAGCGGUGAAAUGCGUAGAUAUCGGAAGGAACAUCAGUGGCGAAAAGCGACUUCCUGGACCAAUACUGACGCUCAUGUGCGAAAGCGUGGGGAGCAAACAGG